ensembl:lncRNA
AAAAAACAGAAGUCAGCUUUUUCCCCAGGGAGAGUUGACAGACACAGAAUUUCAACACAGAGAUAUGAUAGAGCUGAAGACAAACACACACGUACACUGAAGCCACUGCUCUGCACUGAAGUCACGGCAAGGAGGUGGGGAACAAAGUGCACUGCAGUUUCAAGAGGAAAAAUAGCUGGAUAUGGGAACUGUGGGGACACAGCCACCUACCAAGGGCAGAGCUAAGAAUGAUGUCAUGGCCCUGUCCCCUCAGCAGGGCCCACCACCCAGGCAAGUGGUACACAGAGGAGAUGUGCACUGGGAAGGCAGCCAGAGCCCAGUUGAACCCUGGCUUUGUCCUCAAGAGAGGCUCAGCUAUAGAGUACAAAGAACAGUGCUUGAGAUGAUGGCAUAUUCAAUAAAUAUUUACAACCUUCUGUGACCCAAGCAAGCCUCUCCUGGAUGGAAGAUUCCAAGAGAAGCAAUACAGAUUCCUGCACAGGAAAACUCAGGAGUAGAGGAAGCACUGUCCCUGCACACCUCUGGAACACGCACCCUGAAUUCACACCAAUUCCAGGACGCCCUCACAGCCACUCUGAGCUUUUAGUAUGAAGCAUGAAGCCAGAGCCACAACCUGGAGAAGUGCUGGCCUCUUUUUGGGACUGGUUGGUCAGAAGUUAGUUGACACAAACAUCUGUUUAUGAUGAAUAAAU